rnacentral:tRNA from 1 species
GGAAGCGUCGCCUAGUGGUUUAUGGCGCAUGAUUGGAAAUCAUGUGUGCGCAAGCACUCGUGGGUUCGAAUCCCACCGCUUCCG